AUUGAACGCUGGCGGCAUGCCUUACACAUGCAAAUCGAACGGUAACGGGCCUUCGGGUGCCGACGAGUGGCGAACGGGUGAGUAAUACAUCGGAACGUGCCCGAUCGUGGGGGAUAACGAGGCGAAAGCUUUGCUAAUACCGCAUACGAUCUACGGAUGAAAGCAGGGGACCGCAAGGCCUCGCGCGGACGGAGCGGCCGAUGGCAGGUUAGGUAGUUGGUGGGAUAAAAGCUUACCAAGCCGACGAUCUGUAGCUGGUCUGAGAGGAUGAUCAGCCACACUGGGACUGAGACACGGCCCAGACUCCUACGGGAGGCAGCAGUGGGGAAUUUUGGACCAUGGGCGCAAGCCUGAUCCAGCCAUGCCGCGUGCAGGAUGAAGGCCUUCUGGUUGUAAACUGAUUUUGUACGGAACGAAAAGCCUUCUUUUAAUACAGGAUGGUCAUGACGGUACCGUAAGAAUAAGCACCGGCUAACUACGUG
rnacentral:rRNA from 1 species